UGCGAUGAUGAAUCCACUAGACUAGAGUCUCUGACCCCAGUGACGAUAUUCGCAGCGCCCUGAGCA
rnacentral:snoRNA from 1 species